rnacentral:rRNA from 1 species
CAAUACAGGUGGCGCACGGCGCACGGGUGCGUAACACGUGGGUAAUCUGCCCUUCGAUGGGGAAUAACUCGCCGAAAGGCGAGCUAAUUCCGCAUAACAUUCCGAGAACCUUGGUUUUUGGAUUCAAAGGCGUGAGUCGUCGGAGGAGGAGCCCGCGCACGAUUAGCUANUUGGUGAGGUAAUGGCUCACCAAGGCUAUGAUCGUUAGCUGGUCUGAGAGGAUGGCCAGCCACACUGGAACUGAGACACGGUCCAGACUCCUACGGGAGGCAGCAGUGGGGAAUCUUGCACAAUGGGCGAAAGCCUGAUGCAGCGACGCCGCGUGGGGGAUGAAGCUUUUCGGAGUGUAAACCCCUUUCGACCCGGACGAAUGCCUCGCAAGAGGACUGACGGUACGGGUAUAAGAAGCCCCGGCUAACUACGUGCCAGCAGCCGCGGUAAGACGUAGGGGGCCAGCGUUGCUCGGAAUUACUGGGUGUAAAGGGUUCGUAGGCGGUGUGGCAAGUCGGGAGUGAAAUCUCUGGGCUCAACCCAGAGUCUGCUUCCGAAACUGCUGUGCUUGAGUGUGGGAGAGGCGCGUGGAAUUGCAGGUGUAGCGGUGAAAUGCGUAGAUAUCUGCAGGAACACCCGUGGCGAAAGCGGCGCGCUGGACCACUACUGACGCUGAGGAACGAAAGCUAGGGGAGCAAACAGGAUUAGAUACCCUGGUAGUCCUAGCCCUAAACGAUCAGGACUUGGGGUGCCGCCCGUUCGGGCGUCGUCCCGGAGCUAACGCGUUAAGUCCUGCACCUGGGGAGUACGGUCGCAAGACUG